GACGAACGCUGGCGGCGUGCCUAAUACAUGCAAGUCGAACGCAGUGGGGACGGGUGAGUAACACGUGGGUAACCUCCCAUCAGAGGGGAUAACACUUGGAAACAGGUGCUAAACCGAUACUGAUGUAUGGACCCGCGGUGCAUUAGCUAGUUGGUGAGGUAACGGCUCACCAGGGCGACGAUGCAUAGCGGGCCUGAGAGGGUGAUCAGCCACACUGGGACGGAGACACGGCCCAGACUCCUACGGGAGGCAGCAGUGGGGAAGCUUGGGCAAUGGACGAAAGUCUGACCGAGCAAUGCCGCGUGAAUGAAGAAGGUUUUCGGAUCGUAAAACUCUGUUGUUAGAGAAGCGUUAUCUAACCAAAAAGCCACGGCUAACUACGUGCCAGCAGCCGCGGUAAUUC
rnacentral:rRNA from 1 species